rnacentral:tRNA from 1 species
AGUAAGGUAAGCUAAUUCAAGCUCUUGGGCCCAUACCCCAAAAAUGUGGGUUAAAAUCCCUCCCUUGCUA